CUGGCCCAUCUAAAAUCUACAUCUCCAACUGUGACCUUCUUCGACGUUAAUGAUGGUGAUGAUCGACUCCGGCGCUUCCACUCCCUACAGAUCACCAUUUCUUCUCUGAAUUAAUCUCGGUCCUUUACUUCUGUUCUUAAUUCCUUUUUUAAUUAUUUCGUUUCACCUCUUACUGGUUCAAUUCAACCUAUAAAUCUUAAAUCACCUAAUCCAUAAAGCCUCUGCUUCUCCUCCAUCUUCGUCUUUUCAUUGUCUUUGAGAUUUUCUUUACCAGUCUGCAACAAUGUUAUUAUUCCCUCUUUGAUGAAAUUGAGUUAAGAGAUUGAAAAGUUGCAGUUUCUAUGUUUUUUUUUUUAAAAUAUCAGGAUAAUAUGGAUGCAGGUGGUGACAACAAUUUAAUUGGUCAGUUCAGUAUGGGGUUCUAUUCAUCAUUCUUGGUUGCAGAUUGCAUAAGUUAUUUUGUUGUCCUUUCUGUGUACUCUGAUCAUUGUUAUACUCACCUCUCCACCAACUGAAUAUUGUGUUAAUUAUUUAUGUUUUGAAGGUUACUGUGUCAGCGAAGAGCCCAAAGUCUCAUUAAGCAAUAUGUAAUAGGAAGAGAAGCAAAUCCAAGCAGUUAUACCAUUACGGAAGAGACUGAUCCUCAGCUAAUAAUUCCUAGGGGAACAUGUAGUAGUUAGCAUCUUAAGUGGAUGACGAAGUCCAGAGCGAAUUCAGAAGCUCGUGAAAAACUGUUUGCAGUUUGUUUUGAUCUAUAUAUAUAUAUACUUGGCAGGAAAAAGGAUACACUCAUACACAAAAGAGGUUGAAGUUGAGAUGACUCAGCUGAAUCAAAAAGAAAAAAAACAGAUCUGGAUGACCAAACUGAGAGAAGAAAGAAGACCAAGAAGGAAGUUGAGAGAUACCGGGCUCGAGAGCUUACUAAUGAGACGCGACCAAUUUGGCUCUUGAACUCUAAGGAGGUGACAACAGAGGAGUACAAUGAGUUUUACAUAAAAGCUUUCAACUCGUAUUUGGACCCCCGCUGGCAUCAACCCACUUCACAACAGUAUGUUGGAGGGAAAACAUCUAUUGGAAUAGCAUAUAUCCAUGAAACAACCCAAGAAGGUUAUGAUUUGUAUCUGUUAAGAAGUGGUGACACCAUGUUGAUCCACUAAUGAUAUAUCUCUUAUUGUAGCGUGAGCUUGAGUUUAAAUUAAUCUUUCAUGCACCACCAGUGUCUAGGGAAGGAUGAUGUGGUUAAUUAAAAGACAGAAAACACAAGGCUUGAUGUUAGGAUUUUUCAAUUCUCCUAAC